UUGCUCGCAGGGAAGGGGAGGCUGGUGAGCUCGGGGCCAGCUGCUUCGCAUUCGGUUGCAGGCGUGUGUGGACGUCACCGAGCGGACGCUAGGUGCCCCUGGUCGCAAUGCUGGAGGUGAAGCAGGGUCCCCCUCUGCCACGUGGCCAGGGAGCCAGGUCACCCGCUGAGGGUGCUGUCCCGGACAGUGUGGGUGUUGAGCAGCAUCCCUGAUCCCCAUCACCCGAUGCCAGGAGCACCCCUCAGUCAUGGCAACCACAGAUGCCCCCAGACAUGGCCCAGGGUCCCCGGGGGGUUAGGGUCACCCUCACUUGCAAACACCUGGUCUCGCCCAAGAAAUAGCCCGAGGGAGUCCCCCUCUGCCUUUGAGCGUAGAGGGUGUCCUCCACGUCCCUCUGAUGUUCGACCUCCGGGGACUCACUCCCUCCCGAGCAGUUUGCCCCCGCGGGUCCGGACUCGGGUCUUUUUCUCAGGCCAGUAACUCCCGCCGCCCCCGCUGCAGCACCGGUGCGCGCGCCCAGGCACUGCGCCUGCGCACCACAGGGCCACACCAAGUCCCUCUGUGAGCAGUGGUUGGGUCACAGCGCCCUCUCCUGGGCGGAGAUGUCUACGCCUGUGGCUGCGCACAUCCACCGCCCCCAGCUCAAGCACCUCCUGUGCUCAAAUAAGGGAGAAAACACAAUGUAUUUAUUGAGAAACACUGGUCACCUGCCUCCCGAAGGCGCCCCCACCGGGAAUCAAACCUCCAGUCUGGGCAUGUGACCUGACCCGAAUGGAAACCUUCACCCAUUUGGUGCCACUCCAACCAGGCGAGCCACACCGGCCAGGGCAAAACACAAUAUAUUUAGCAAGAUGCCUGAGACAUAAAGAUUUGCCAUUAAAACAAUAAUCAUUAUUAUUACAAUUUAUUUGAAAGUUAUCAAAAGUCCCAGCUCAUGAUGUGGAAGAUGCACAGCGCUGCCCAGAUUCCUCCUUCAGGACUAAAGGACCCAUUUCCCUUCCUGGAAAUGCUGCUCUCAGCCUUGCUCAAACAAACAUGAUAGCAAAAAGA